AUUGAACGCUAGCGGGAUGCCUAACACAUGCAAGUCGAACGAGUGGCGGACGGGUGAGUAAUAUAUGGGAACGUGCCCAGUAGGGGGGGAUAACUACUGGAAAGAGUGGCUAAUACCGCAUACCAUCGGAGAGGGCGGGAUCGGAUUAGCUAGUUGGUGGGGUAAAGGCUAACCAAGGCAACGAUCCCUAGCUGGUUUUAGAGGACGACCACCCACACUGGAACUGAGACACGGCCCAGACUCCUACGUGAGGCAGCAGUGGGGAAUUUUGGACAAUGGGGGAAACCCUGAUCCAGCCAUCCCGCGUGUAUGAGAAGGCCUUCGGGUUGUAAAGUACUUUUGGCGGGGAAGCGGUAUCUGCAGAAUAAGCACCGGCUAACUACGUGCCAGCAGCCGCGGUAAUUC
rnacentral:rRNA from 1 species